CAACGGGUGAGUAACACGUGGGCAACCUGCCCAAAANAGGGGGAUAACACUUGGAAACAGGUGCUAAUACCGCAUAACCAUAGUUACCGCAUGGUAACUAUGUAAAAGGUGGCUAUGCUACCGCUUUUGGAUGGGCCCGCGGCGCAUUAGCUAGUUGGUGGGGUAAAGGCUUACCAAGGCAAUGAUGCGUAGCCGAACUGAGAGGUUGAUCGGCCACAUUGGGACUGAGACACGGCCCAAACUCCUACGGAAGGCAGCAG
rnacentral:rRNA from 1 species